rnacentral:rRNA from 1 species
AUUGAACGCUGGCGGCAUGCCUUACACAUGCAAGUCGAACGGCAGCACGGGAGCAAUCCUGGUGGCGAGUGGCGAACGGGUGAGUAAUAUAUCGGAACGUGCCCAGUAGUGGGGGAUAACUGCUCGAAAGAGCAGCUAAUACCGCAUACGACCUGAGGGUGAAAGGGGGGGAUCGCAAGACCUCUCGCUAUUGGAGCGGCCGAUAUCAGAUUAGCUAGUUGGUGGGGUAAAGGCCUACCAAGGCAACGAUCUGUAGUUGGUCUGGGAGGACGACCGGCCACACUGGGACUGAGACACGGCCCAGACUCCUACGGGAGGCAGCAGUGGGGAAUUUUGGACAAUGGGCGCAAGCCUGAUCCAGCAAUGCCGCGUGCAGGAAGAAGGCCUUCGGGUUGUAAACUGCUUUUGUCAGGGAAGAAAUCCUCUAGGUUAAUACCCUUGGGGGGAUGACGGUACCUGAAGAAUAAGCACCGGCUAACUACAUGCCAGCCGCCGCAGUAACAC